rnacentral:lncRNA from 1 species
GCUGACUAAACCCUUUACCACAUAAAUCACAGUCAUGAGGUUUAUCGUGUUUAUCCCCUGUAUGUAUUCUCAUAUGUCUCUGUAAUUUACCUCGCUCACUAAAUCCUUUACCACAUACACCACAAUCAUAAGGCUUGUCCCCUGUAUGUGUUCUCAUAUGAGUCUGUAAAUUCCCACGCCAACUAAACCCUUUACCACAUAAAUCACAAUCAUAAGAUUUAUUCCUUGUAUGUGUUCUCGUGUGCAGCCGUAAACUUCCAAGCUGACUAAAGCGUUUAUCACAAACAUCACAGUUAUAAGGUUUAUCACCUGUAUGAGUUCUCAUGUGAAUCUGUAAACUCCAACGCCGACUAAACUGAUGACCACAUACAUCACACUCAUGGGGUUUAACGCCUGUAUGUUUUCUCAUGUGAAUCUGUAAAUUACUAAGAAA